rnacentral:rRNA from 1 species
CCACCGCGGUUAUACGAAAGACCCUAGUUGAUAGCUACGGCGUAAAGGGUGGUUAAGGGAUAUAGAAAAUAAAGCUAAAGAUCCUCUAAGCCGUCAUACGCACUCCGAGGACACGAAGCCCCAACACGAAAGUAGCUUUAAAUAAACUUAAACCUGACCCCACGAAAGCUAAGAAACAAACUGGGAUUAGAUACCCCACUAUGCUUAGCCUUAAACCUAGAUGUAAUAUUACAUAUACAUCCGCCCGGGUACUACGAGCACAGCUUAAAACCCAAAGGACUUGGCGGUGUCUCAGACCCACCUAGAGGAGCCUGUUCUAGAACCGAUAACCCCCGUUAAACCUCACCACUUCUUGUUUUCCCCGCCUAUAUACCGCCGUCGCCAGCUUACCCUGUGAAGGCCUAGCAGUAAGCAAAAUGGGCUCGCCCAAAAACGUCAGGUCGAGGUGUAGCGCACGAAGUGGGAAGAAAUGGGCUACAUUUUCUACAGCAGAAUAUUACGAACGGCACCCUGAAACAAGUGCCCGAAGGUGGAUUUAGUAGUAAAAAGCAAAUAGAGAGUCCUUUUGAAUUAGGCUCUGAGACGCGCACACACCGCCCGUCACUCUCCCCUCAUAUAUUAAACUCAAACCCGACAUUCCUAAUCAAACAUUUCCUAGCACGGGGAGGCAAGUCGUAACAUG